rnacentral:rRNA from 1 species
CAGUGCUGCAUGGCUGUCGUCAGCUCGUGUCGUGAGAUGUUGGUUAAGUCCCGCAACGAGCGCAACCCUCGCCUUUAGUUGCCAGCAUUCAGUUGGGCACUCUAAAGGGACUGCCGGUGUCAAACCGGAGGAAGGUGGGAUGACGUCAAGUCCUCAUGGCCUUUAUGUCUAGGGCUACACACGUACUACAAUGGCAGGUACAAAGGGCAGCGACACAGCGAUGUGAUGCGAAUCCCGAAAAGCCUGUCUCAGUCCGGAUCGGAGUCUGCAACUCGACUCCGUGAAGUUGGAAUCGCUAGUAAUCGUGGAUCAGCAUGCCACGGUGAAUACGUUCCCGGGCCUU